ACUCCUACGGGAGGCAGCAGUGGGAAUAUUGCACAAUGGGCGCAAGCCUGAUGCAGCCAUGCCGCGUGUAUGAAGAAGGCCUUCGGGUUGUAAAGUACUUUCAGCAGUGAGGAAGGUGGGUAUGUUAAUAGCAUACUCAUUUGACGUUAGCUGCAGAAGAAGCACCGGCUAACUCCGUGCCAGCAGCCGCGGUAAUACGGAGGGUGCGAGCGUUAAUCGGAAUUACUGGGCGUAAAGCGCACGUAGGCGGAUUGGAAAGUUGGGGUGAAAUCCCGGGGCUCAACCCCGGAACGGCCUCCAAAACUCCCAGUCUGGAGUUCGAGAGAGGUGAGUGGAAUUCCGAGUGUAGAGGUGAAAUUCGUAGAUAUUCGGAGGAACACCAGUGGCGAAGGCGGCUCACUGGCUCGAUACUGACGCUGAGGUGCGAAAGUGUGGGAGCAAACAGGAUUACAUACCCUGGUAGGCUC
rnacentral:rRNA from 1 species